rnacentral:lncRNA from 1 species
GGGUAGAACAGCAGUGUCUCACCUUCAGGCGUUUGGACUCGGUGGAGGUUGUGAGUGCCUAGCAGUGUGGGCUGAAUCUCCGUGGGGUUUAGGGAGACGAAAGGACCCCAGAUCGACGUCCCCUCGUUCCCACUUUGGAGAUCGGCGCUCUGGCUGUUUCGUGAGAGAGAGAGAGAUUGAUAUUGGAAAAGCAGUUUCUAUUGAGCCCCCAAAUGAAGAGUGAGUGCAGAUGAAGAGGAGGCAGGACUCACAAGCCCUUGACCUUCAUUCCAGACCCAUUAGCACCUACAGGACCCUGCACCGGGAUUUCAUCUGCACUGUCAGCUUCUUCAAAGAGAGAGAGGUUGUUGAGCCCAGAAGUGACAAAAGAGAAUUAUCAGGAUGGCAGUCCUUAUAACCAGAUGCUUAUGAACAUUCUUCACUACAUUCUGAAGAUGAAUUUCUACAAGGGAAAUUGUUUAUGUAAGUGGU